AGAAAGACCAUCAUCAAGUUUUCUUCACAUAAUAUUGAAUAUUACAAUGGCAGUGGUUGCUCAGAUUACUUCAAAUGACCCAAUCAGUCAAUUGAAGAUUGACGGAUGCCUCAUUUGUCCAAGCAAGUGGAUACAAAUUCCUAAUGUCUCAGAGGUUUGUGUGCAAAAUAUUGCAAAGUUUGCUGUGGACGACUACAACCUCCAACAUAAGGAGAGUUUCAAAUACAAGAGCAUUAAAUGUGGUUGGUUUAUGGAGCUGAAGGGUGAAGACCUGGACUUCUGCCUCCAUAUUGAGGUGAAAGACUGUUUGGGACGUAUCUUUGAACUGGAUGUCGUAGUUUCUGAAAAGAAAACAUAUUUCGAAAAAAUCAGAAAGCUUGAAUCGGCCAAACUUAUUAAGAAAAACUAAUCAAACACUAGUUUGUUCGUUGUAACCUUAUGAAGUACUACUACCAUUGAUUAUCUAAUAUAAAUAAUAAAAUAAUAAUAUGAAAUAAACUUUUAAGGUACACUUAUCUCUA